rnacentral:tRNA from 1 species
UGGGUGUAGCUCUGUGGUACAGCGCUUGUCUAAAAUGCACAAGGCCCUGGGUUUGGUCCCCAGCUCUUCAA